UAUGCGCAUAUAAUGUAUAUAUGUGUGGGCGCUUGGGGGGCAAAAGUGAAAGUGCACUAAUUUUAACGUUAUUUUACUAAUUUCGUGAAAAUAGUAUUAAAAGAGGGGGAUGGUUGAUCAUGCAUCAUAUGGUGACGUUGACAGCCGAAAGACAAGGAGUACAUGCGCUAAUUGGUCUUUAUCUUAAUUGCCGAGUGUUGUGUACCUAAUGUGUAUAACUUAUCUUGAUUGGUUAACUAGGAUUUAAACUAUGAAAACGAGGCUACAAAUAUUUUUUGGGUCGAAAUGGGGAAAUAACAUUUUAGCUGAAUUUUUCAGCUUCAGUCCGAAUUUUAGACUUUUUUUUUUUUGCAAAAAUCAUAUAAAAUCAACCAUCUAUCCGAUCGAGGUUUUUAUAUACUUUCGGAAAGCUUGACGAGUCUGGUUUCUACAGAUUUGUAGAACAAUAAUCAAUACGAUCAGUAGAUGUGUGAAAAAUAUGAAUAUGUAGUAGCUGUACAGGUUGUAAUAAAACAUAAUAUCCAUGUUUGGCAAAAAUCUUAUAAAAACUCAUACGAGUGUCCGCUUGAGGGUUUUGUACAUUCUUGGAAACUUUUUUUGGUCUACUUUUAAAGUUUCAAAACGUUAAAUAUUGUAGCUACGGAGAAAUUUAUGAUGAUAUAGCACUAACGGGUCAAUAAACCUUGUAUGCUGUUUAUCAUUUAAAACAGAGACGGUUAUAGACUAAUGGCAGGUAGACGAGCAACAAGUUGCUUGCACAAGUAUUAUAUCUUGAAUGAAUAUCAUGAAGGAAGAUACAGGUAUAUGUAAUUCAAUGGACCCAUUUAUAGUAAGGUGAUUUACAUUGGAAUUGUUUGACUUCAAGAAGGGGGUCAACGGUCCGGCAAGAAAGUCCAACGUCAAAUCAAUCCUACGGACGAAGGUAAAAUUUCAUAUAAGAUGCUGGACGACGAUUAAGUGCUCGGGGACCACUCACCUUGAAGUCGGAUUACGUUCCCAUGUAUGUGUGUCAAGGAAUAAUUUGGUUAUUUGAUGGUUUUAAACUAAAUUAUAAGGUGUCUAUAAGGGUUAUAUUGAUAUUUAACUCUUGACACCAAAUCUUGAUGGUUUUAAACUAAAUUAUAAGGUGUCUAUAAGGGUUAUAUUGAUAUUUAACUUUUACCACCAAAUCUUAUAAUGUUAAUAAGAUAAGAAAGGGUUGUAAGAUAAGAAAAAAAUCUGGACCUACUUUUUCUAGAUUUAAAUAUAAUGUCACCAAGAGCUCAUAUCAA